rnacentral:lncRNA from 1 species
UUUCCAACAAUUGCACAGUAGAUUUAUUUCUCUUCAUUCCUGUGAGAGAGACAUCCAAAUCCUAACAAAACAGGUCAUUCAGGCAUGGUGCCAUACCUGUAACCCCAACACUUGGAAGAUUCAGGCAGGAGGAUCAGGCAUUCAAGGCCUGCCUCAAACACAGUGAAUAUGAGGCCAGCCUGGGUUACAUGAGACCCUGUCUCAACAACACAAAAUAAAACAAAACAAAACAAAACCCAAGAGUGGAAGGUAGGGAACAGCCCCCUUGGUCGCUAAAACUAGAAAUGUCAACCCACAGGCACAGGUGUGGGCCCAGCCCUAGGGCUUCCUGGGUCCCAAGUCUGUGGAGCUGGGCAGAAGCAGCACCAAUAGCAGGAAGUUCCUCCGGAGCAGAGGCCUGGGGCAGCCUCAGCAGGCAGUGUAGACCAACAUCCACCACAGCCAUGUCCAGCCAGCUUCAGGCCAACAGCCUCCAGACCUCCAAUGACAGGCCACCAGAGGCAGCCACCACUAUGUUGCCCUCAGCACAGAUCUGUGGAACAGUGACAGUGGAAUUAGGGCCUGCCUGGGAUCUUGGUAGGCCAGCAGGCUAUACGAGGCAGGACCUUACCCCAUUUAACACGUUGUGGUGCCUUCGGGUACAGAUGGUCUUAGGUGGAUCUGUGGGCACAUGAACCUAACAGGGACAAGUGGCAGAAGUCAGGGUAUGUGCCCUGGCCAAUUGGGGGUAAGGGGGUCUGCUGGGCCAGU